rnacentral:rRNA from 1 species
CUACGGGGGGCUGCAGUGGGGAAUAUUGCACAAUGGACGAAAGUCUGAUGCAGCAACGCCGCGUGGAGGAUGACACAUUUCGGUGCGUAAACUCCUUUUAUAGGUCAAGAUAAUGACGGUAGCCUAUGAAUAAGCGCCGGCUAACUCCGUGCCAGCAGCCGCGGUAAUACGGAGGGCGCAAGCGUUACUCGGAAUCACUGGGCGUAAAGAGCGUGUAGGCGGGUUAAUAAGUCAGAAGUGAAAUCCAAUGGCUCAACCAUUGAACUGCUUUUGAAACUGUUAACCUAGAGUAUGGGAGAGGUAGAUGGAAUUUCUGGUGUAGGGGUAAAAUCCGUAGAGAUCAGAAGGAAUACCGAUUGCGAAGGCGAUCUACUGGAACAUUACUGACGCUGAGACGCGAAAGCGUGGGGAGCAAACAGGAUUAGAUACCCCAGUAGUC